GUCCGAGCGAGGAUGUGCGGCACCGUUACUCUGGCGAGAACGGGAAGGGAUGAGAACGGCAGGACCAGCAAGCAAGAGAGGUCAAAAUUCCCCACCGCACCAUCUCCCGCGGGAGGCCUGGAAGCCCUUGGCCUCCAGCCGAAGCC
rnacentral:lncRNA from 1 species